UGCAAAUUUUAAUUCAACUAACUUAAACGGGGUCAUUUGUUUAGCCCUGAAUUUCCCUAGUUUUCCACCAAAUCAGAUUUCCCCAAUUUCAUUCCCCCAAUUUCCCAAUUUCUUUUCCCCUAUUUUCCCCAAUGGCAUCUUCCCCAAAUUAUUUCCUACAACUCCCAAUCCCCAACUGAUUGAAAUCCUCAAUUUCUGAAAUCCCUUUUCUCUUCGUCGCAGCCUUUUCUCUCUCCUAUAGCCUAUUCUCUUCGCCGCUGCCGCUGCCGCUGGAAAUUUGAGUGCUAUAGUCAACUGCAGCAGAAAGUAGUCUUUUCGAUCAAUUGAUAAACUGCUGAGAAUUCAAUCCUGAAGCAGCCCCAGUAACUUGCAGCUUUUACUUUCUUGCAGCCUUUACUUUCUUGUGGACUUUAAGAGUGUGUUCUUACUUUGUGAUUGCAAAAAAAUAACAAAAUAAGGAAGGAAGAGGGCUUACCAGAACACGGCCUUGAAUCAAGGUUGAAAACCCAUUUUUUAAGUGCUGCUGGCCACCGAGUGUGGUGGUGUUUCAGUCUUGCGGUGGGGGGAAAGAACCAAUCGGCGCAUGGAGAUUGGAAUGUAGCCUUAGCAGAGCAAGAAUGGGAACGCUUUUUUUUUAAUUCAAUGCAAAUGGUUUUGGGCAAACAAAAUGGUUUAAUAUUUUAUGUAUAAUAAAAUGGUGUUGUUUGGGUUAAAUGGGUAGGAUCUGCACAUUCUAGCCUAAAAUGGGAAAUUUCAUGAUCAAUCCCCAUCUUUUGCACCGCUAUUUAAUUA